rnacentral:rRNA from 1 species
CCCUUAGAUGUCCGGGGCCGCACGCGCGCUACACUGAAGGAAUCAGCGUGGCUUUCUCCCUGACCCGAAAGGGUUGGGAAACCCGUUGAAUCUCCUUCGUGAUAGGGAUUGGGGCUUGAAAUUGUUCCCCAUGAACGAGGAAUUCCCAGUAAGCGCGAGUCAUAAGCUCGCGUUGAUUACGUCCCUGCCCUUCGUACACACCGCCCGUCGCUACUACCGAUUGAACGGUUUAGUGAGGGCCUCGGAUUGGUCUCGGCCCGCUCUUUACCGGGCGGCGCCGUUGGUCGAGAAGACGCUCGAACUUGAUCGUUUAGAGGAAGUAAAAGUCGUAACA